GUAGUCUAGUGGUUAGAGGAGGCAGGUAGUCUAGUGGUUAGUGGAGGCAGGUAGUCUAGUGGUUAGAGGAGGCAGGUAGUCUAGUGGUUAGUGGAGGCAGGUAGUCUAGUGGUUAGAGGAGGCAGGUAGUCUAGUGGUUAGUGGAGGCAGGUCGUCUAGUGGUUAGAGGAGGCAGGUAGUCUAGUGGUUAGAGGAGGCAGGUAGUCUAGUGGUUAGAGGAGGCAGGUAGUCUAGUGGUUAGUGGAGGCAGGUAGUCUAAUGGUUAGAGGAGGCAGGUAGUCUAGUGGUUAGAGGAGGCAGGUAGUCUAGUGGUUAGAGGAGGCAGGUAGUCUAGUGGUUAGAGGAGGCAGGUAGUCUAGUGGUUAGAGGAGGCAGGUAGUCUAGUGGUUAGAGGAGUCAGGUAGUCUAGUGGUUAGAGGAGGCAGGUAGUCUAGUGGUUAGAGGAGGCAGGUAGCCUAGUGGUUAGAGGAGGCAGGUAGUCUA
ensembl:lncRNA